CCUACGGGAGGCAGCAGUGGGGAAUCUUGCACAAUGGGGGAAACCCUGAUGCAGCGACGCCGCGUGAGUGAAGAAGUAUCUCGGUACGUAAAGCUCUAUCAGCAGGGAAGAAAAUGACGGUACCUGACUAAGAAGCCUCGGCUAACUACGUGCCAGCAGCCGCGGUAAUACGUAGGGGGCAAGCGUUAUCCGGAUUUACUGGGUGUAAAGGGAGCGGAGACGGCAGCACAAGUCUGGAGUGAAAUCCCGGGGCUUAACCCCGGAACUGCUUUGGAAACUGGGCGGCUGGAGUGCAGGAGGGGUAAGCGGAAUUCCUAGUGUAGCGGUGAAAUGCGUAGAUAUUAGGAGGAACACCAGUGGCGAAGGCGGCUUACUGGACUGUAACUGACGUUGAGGCUCGAAAGCGUGGGGAGCAAACAGGAUUAGAUACCCGUGUAGUC
rnacentral:rRNA from 1 species